UUGUGUCUUCAGGGCAGGGUGUGAUUCCCUACCGGUGGUAUAGCCCACGAGCGCCAAGGCGCAGAUUCGGUGAAAUUCCGAGGCCGACAGUUAUAGUCUGGAUGAAAGAAGAUGACA
rnacentral:ncRNA from 2 species